GAUCAUAUGCAAGAGGAAACAAUGAAUGAAGUACCGGAAGGCGUCCAAAGUAGACCUAACUGCCCCAAGUGAGUGAGUGAGUCCUAACAGAUCAUGAAGUCACUGACCCAAGGUUCGUUCCGGAAGUGAAGUCCCAUAACAUUACCGACAUAUUUUUGUGUGGUCGUCGUGUCUGGUCUCGUGAUGUUGUCCUCGAGGCCCUUGAUGUCCAGCGCAGUGUAGAUGAGCUGUAGCUACUGAAUGGAUAUCCUAGUAGUCGUAGUCGUAGUCGUCGUAGUAGUAGUACUAGAUCUCGUGAAAAGGGUAAACUGGUCAGUCAGUUCUGGCUAACUUCGUCACUGACUUGGGGGAAGGGGGGAACAAGGAAGUAGGUUUGGUGACAGAGAAGCCGCACAACUUCAGCAGAUUUCUUAUAUUUGCGUGAAGUUAAGGAGUUGGGGUGGAAGGGUUGUCACAAGGUUAGUGAGGAGCCCCUUACAACACCACACCACACCAACACUGGCUAACAUACUUGCGUGACCCAGAUCAACCCCAAGCCGUGCCGAUAUAUCCUUUUGUACGACCUUUGUAAGAGUGUACUGCCUCGCUGUCGUACCAACCAACUGCUAACCAUCAAUGGUCAUCAUCUCUAUUCCACCAACCGUCAUGGUACAGGGCCCUGAUUUGGGUUUUGGGACAGUGGACUUCUUUCUGUCUCCACCUUGACCGUUGCCGUUGAUUAACCGUUGCUGUUAAUUAGCCGUUGCCGUUGACCCACUUGAAACUCCCAUUUGAGACCCCUCUCUCCGGCUUAACCCCCUUACCCCAACCCUUCCCCUGGAGCGCCAGCUCCGCCGGUACUGCUGCUGCUGCUGCUGCUGCUUGCUCCUGGCUUCAAUGUAAUAGCUAGUAUACCUAGCAUGCGUAUCACAAUCAGGCGUGAUUCUCUCUCAAUCUCUACCAGCUCGAUCUACCGGCUCGCCUAGGUUGUUACCUAGCUUCGCCAUGAUAUCAUAUAAUCUACCUGUGUACGCGUAUAGCUUUGCGAAAUUCGCGAAUUACUUAUUUGAUCCAUCUCUCCGCCCCUCUCCUCCAUCACACUGAAGUAAGCAAUCGCUCCGUAGAGCUUGAGUCCGUCUGGGUCCAGGAUCAUGACAAGUCGUUUCCAGAGUUCUGAGCUGUUUUGAAGACCUGGCUUUGGGUUUAUUUUGGGUUCUUCCUUUCACACAUACCCCUAUUGGCCACCUGCCUUCAUUCCGUAGAUCCGGUCGCUUUUGGAGCGCGGGCGAGUGGAAUGUGUGGAGCAGCUGCUGGGUCGGAAGUACCGCCUCGUGUGCGACCUCGCAAGGGCGACCACCGCUAUGAAAUUGGACGACAGCAGCAGGAGCAGUAACAGCAGCGGUAUCGGCGGCAGCGGAGUUGGUCGCGAAAGCUGUGACGGGUCAAAAGGGCGGUUGGUGGUGCCUUGGUCAACUUAUCAGAACCAGCCGCCCGCGAAUGGGCAGUAUUGGGCCCUGGUGCAGCUGGUUCGUGGUGCGGAGGUUCCCGUAGAUGCGUCUAGCGAGAUCGUUGUCGGUGGAUUUGCGGUUGGUGUGGGCGGUGAUGGUGAUGUGAGGGAGGACGGGCAGAUGUCGAGCGGGGCGUGCACGAUGGUACUGCUUAGCGAUAUGGGCAUCGAGGUUGAGCUCGGGGAGAAGGCAAUUAAAUGCAUAGCGGAGUCUGGUGAAGGCAGACUGCUGCUUGUAGAUUUCGAUGCUUGUGGUUGAACGGUGUGCGCGACCUCGACAAAAUUAUCCUUGGCGUUUGGGUGCCUUCAAACUUGACAGGUGCAUUCCUCUAAAAUGAGAUAUGGAAGAAAUGAUGUGAUGAGAAACGGGACAGUGAGUCAGGCUAGGUCGCUUGCGUACGAUGAAAUGUUGGUGUCCAUAGUCGCUUACCACCCGGUGCAUACGACGUUGAGAUAUUAUGUCGCGUGUAUAUAAAAAAGGUGUGACCAACUGACCUCGCUAACUAUUUUGGGCUAACUGCAGUUCCUGUCGGAACGUUGACUGCUUCCAAGACGUUCGUCUGUCCUUUGAACUUUGUCGCAAACUGUAUUUUCCCGACAUCUAUUCCUAAAUUAUAACAUCAUAUUGUUGCGGGUAAAUCUACGGGGCGGUUACUGGUAGUCGUCACCCAGCUCAGGAAGCAGUCUAAGGUAUUUGCGUCUGAAACGGCACAGAAAGCAACAAGUACUGUAUUUUUCAUGCUCUUCUAAGAUGCAAGCGUCAGGGUCGCGUCCCGGCGUUGUAUCUGAAGGCAGCGUGCUUAAGGCAGGCCAGGUUCCCAAGGGCCCUGCUGCCAAGUAGCCCAAGUCCCGAACUCAACAACAUUUCAUGCUUAUAUCAACAUCUUCAAUUCACUUAAUAGCCCCGUCCCGAUCGGCAGAGGAGCAGCGCACGGCAGCUUGUUAAUUCCGCCACAGCAGUAGCAUCGGGACCCGGAGCUGUUCCUUCCGUCACCGCCAGCAUGGCGCACAUGAGCUCGCGUAACUUGGCGCCUGGAGUGAGGGAGGACCCCCGGCUCGUGCGGGAAUCGGUGGAGAGCAGCCGCGCAAGCAUGACCUUGAGUACGUGUGUGCCGGACCGCGGGCACCUGCAUGUACCUCACGUCCUCAGGAUGUAGCCAAAAAAGGGGGAGUACAUCAGUCGCUGGGCAUAAAUGGGCCACAUGGUAACAUAGGUGCCUGCCGGGGGGGCCCACAUGUGGGGCACAUGACGCUCUACUGCGGCAGAGACACUGUUGGAUCUGUCACGAAAUAAACUGUUGUUGUCUUUGUGUCGCGUGGUCGGAGUACGUUGACCAUCCCCGAAUCCAACCCAGCUCUAGCUAACCCAACUCUAGCCACGCAAUGGUUGUUCUUACGGUUUGAGAAGCGUCGGGCGGCAGGUCGGAAGUUAUGCUGGGUGAAGGGCCUCGCGCACAUAAGACACAGA
rnacentral:lncRNA from 1 species